UACCUCCAUUUGUCGAGCCUCGUACGUAGAAUAGAUGUCAGCCCUAGAUGAGCGUGAGGAUGAGGAAGUAGUGAUCCCAUACCCUAGACCCCUAACAUAACAAGAUCUCGUACCGAGCAUCCGAUCACAGAUCUCAUCAUUUGUGGAUGCAGUUGAGCCCUCAGAGAUAAGCUGGGAUCUCAUGUCUGUCAUACGGUUCUGAAAAUUAAAAUUAUAUUUAUUUUAAUUUUGUAAUAAAAAUUAGAUUAUGAAAAAAAAAUUAAUUAAAAAAACUUACAAAGAGCUCCUGACUCCCC
rnacentral:lncRNA from 1 species